AUUCACAACAAACACCAACUUAUAUCUUCUAUUACUUAAAAAGUUAAAUUAGCUUCUUUUACACAUCGUCACCAUGUCUGGCGUAUGUGGAAACUGUGACUGUGCUGACAAGAGUCAAUGCAUGAAGAAAGGAUCUCAGUAUGGAGCUUCCCUCGUUGAGAAUGACAUCGUUUGCUAUGAUGGAACGGUGAUGGAGGAAGGAGGAAACUGCGAUGGGUGCAAGUGUGGUGCUGGCUGUUCAUGUGCCAACUGCUCCUGCUGCAGCCACUAGCUUUCCAUUUUAUUAUAAAAAUCUCUAAUCAACUAUAUGUAUUAUGUAUCUCAUUCUCUCCUAAAUUCUAUUUGGAAAAAACUUUGUUUCCGAAGCUCUAGAUUAAUGGUUCGAAAACUUCCCUUUCCAAACUCUAAAUUAAUUUUCUAUUGAAAAAUUGUAACAAUUUACAACUAAUAAAAAAUAUUAUACACAAAAGAUCAUUUUAUAUGAA